rnacentral:lncRNA from 1 species
AACCUAUGUGGCGUGGGCUUGGUAGAAAAUGAACAUCUCUCUGUGGUUUUGCACAAAGUGCUAAGGCGUCCCUCCAAACAGUUGUGUGGCAGGAGCCGUCAGCAUCUACCUGCACAGCUGCGGCCCAGUGGCGACGGGAAGGCCAUUUACAGGUGUCCCUGGGCAGGAGCGCCAGACUCCCAGGACCUUCCCCGAGCAGACUUCGCUGCUCGCCAGCCCCACUCUGGGAAGCCGGCGGCCGGGACUUGCGGUGGCCGCACAGGAAGGGCGGAGGCCCUACGCGCGGUCCGACCCCGUCGCUCCGUCCCAGCCCAGACCCCAGCCCCGGGCGGCCCCGAGCCCCGCCCGCCGGCUCGCCCCGCCGGCCGCGCGCCUGCGCACCGGCCCCGGGUUAGCAGAGGUGGAGCGCCGGGAGGGAGGCAGGCGGACGGACGCCGUGACGGCGCGAGCGUGGUCACGUGCCUGCCGGUCACCGCCGCCACCUCCCGCCCUUCAGGUUCCACGAGAGCCCGGCAGACUGAGGGGGAGACACACAGAGAGCGAGAGAGUGAGAAACAGAGAGAGAGAGAGGAAGGAGGGGAGGAGGAUCAGGGAGUAGGAGCUGGGGAGCCCUGCCGCGCACAGAAAGUUUCUAAUGCCUGGGUGAAGAUAGGAAAACUGUCAGAUAGGCUGAGCACUGUCAUACUAGAUAGGACUCUCCAAGGAGACUUUGUGACAUACGUAGGCUCACCUUGGUGA